rnacentral:lncRNA from 10 species
CUGCUGCUUAUCAGAGGCUGGAGUAGGGGAAAUGAGUAAUCUAUCUACGUCAAACUCAGACUUCAAACAGACUAUAACGAACCUGGAGGAAACACAUACAUUUAAAUAAGUGAUUACUUCUGAGGCUUUUAGUUGAGAUCCCAGGAGAAAAAAUAUGAUGUGGUGGAAAGAGAAACAUUCAGAUUUGGAAUCUUAGCCACCUGAGCUUGAGUCCUGACUCCUACGUUUACUAGCUUUUGGACUUCAGGAAACUCUUAAAAGCAGAGAUGAAGAGAAAAGAGUGAGUUCAAAAGACAGAGCAUGAGAAAGACCCCACCCGCUAUUACUGGCUUUGAAGAUGGAGAGAAGAGGCCACAAGCCAAGGAAUGCAGCAGCUUCCAGAAGCAUGAAAGAGCCCUUAGGUUACAGCCAGCAAGGGAAGGAAACUGCGACCCUACAGCCACAAGACUUGACUUCUGCCAACAGCCAGAAGGAGCAGGAAAUACGUUCUCCCUGAGAGCCUCCAGAAAGGAACACAGUCUGCCCACACCUUAAUUUUAGCCUGGGGAGGCCCAUACCAGGUCUCUGCUUUACAGAAUUGUAAGAUAAUAAAUUUGGAGUUUUUUUAAACUACUAAAUUUGUGGUCAUUUGUAAAGGCAGUAACAGAAAAACUAAAACACUUUACUAUCUAUACGUAGAUUUAACUGCUUUUUUUUUUUUUCUUUUUAAGAGAUGGUCUCACUCUGUUGCCCAAGUUGGAGUACAGAGGUGCAAUCAUAUCUCACUGCAGCCUUGAACUCCUGGGCUCAAGCCAUCCUCCCACCUCAGGCUCCUGGAUAACUGGGACUACAGGCACACCACCAUGCCUGGCUAAUUUUUUUUUUCUUUUUUUUUUUUAGAGAUGAGGUCUUGCUAUGUUGCCCAGCUGGUCUCAAAUUCCUAGCUUCAAAUGAUCCUCCCACCUUGGCCUCCCAAAGCUCUGGGAAUGAAGGCAUGAGCCACCAUGCCCAGUCUAGAUUUAACUUUUAAAUACAGUUCUAUUUUUAUAGGGGGGGAAAAUCCCAAAAUAGAAUAACAAGCAGGUUUUCUUUUACUCAGUUAACUAUUCCUAAGAGAAACCUUGAUAUUCUGGAUAUUUGAACCCUGAGACUAAUCCAGGCACCCUUUUCUCCUGGUAGCAGCUUGUGCAAUGAGGU